GAUGAACGCUAGCGGAAGGCCUAAUACAUGCAAGUCGAGCGGUAGAGUACUUCGGUACUUGAGAGCGGCGCACGGGUGAGUAACGCGUACAUGACCUGCCCUUAAGCGGGGGAUAGCCCUGGGAAACUGGGAUUAAUACCCUAUGUGAUUAUAAGAGUUAGAGUUUUAUAAUUAAAGCUGAGGCGCUUAAGGAUGGGUGUGCGUCUGAUUAGCUAGUUGGUGAGGUAACGGCUCACCAAGGCGACGAUCAGUAGGGGGCGUGAGAGCGUGAUCCCCCACACGGGUACUGAGACACGGACCCGACUCCUACGGGAGGCAGCAGUAAGGAAUAUUGGACAAUGCCCGCAAGGGUGAUCCAGCCAUUCCGCGUGCAGGAUGACGGCCCUAUGGGUUGUAAACUGCUUUUAGAUGGGAAGAAAGUGUGAUAUUUAUAUUGCUUUGACGGUACCAUCAGAAUAAGCACCGGCUAACUCCGUGCCAGCAGCCGCGGUAAUACGGAGGGUGCGAGCGUUAUCCGGAAUUACUGGGCUUAAAGGGUGCGUAGGCGGGUUUCUAAGUCUAAGGUGAAAGUCUGUAGCUCAACUAUAGAAUUGCCUUGGAUACUGGGGACCUUGAAUUGGGUUGAGGAUGGCGGAAUGUGACAUGUAGCGGUGAAAUGCAUAGAUAUGUCAUAGAACACCAAUUGCGAAGGCAGCCAUCUGGGCCUUGAUUGACGCUGAGGCACGAAAGCGUGGGGAUCGAACAGGAUUAGAUACCCUGGUAGUCCACGCCCUAAACGAUGCUUACUCGAUGUUUGGACUUCGGUUCGAGCAUCCAAGGGAAACCGUUAAGUAAGCCACCUGGGGAGUACGUUCGCAAGAAUG
rnacentral:rRNA from 1 species